CAUGGCAACCCCAAAUGCCGCCGCCUGUGGGUUAGUCAUGUUGGUGGUGGGUUGGUUGCUUCUGGUUACAGUUGCGUUGGUUAACAACACCGCCUUGGUUACCCGUAGUUACCCAUUGAUGAUUUCUAAUUUGGACUGUGCCGUAUAUAUAUUGUCCUGGUCAUAGCAGGGUUGUCAGUGAGAUCCCUAGUCAGCUGUCAUGGUUGUCAUGAAGAUAGAGUAUGGAACCUCAGUUAUGAGGUUAGACUUUCACACGGAGGACAGGAGGAUACCUAGUCAGUUGUCAUGGAGAUACCUAGUCAGUUGUCAUGGAGAUACGGUGUGGAACCUCAGCUAUGAGGUUAGACUUUCACACGGAGGACAGGAGGAUACCUAGUCAGUUGUCAUGGAGAUACCUAGUCAGUUGUCAUGGAGAUACGGUGUGGAACCUCAGCUAUGAGGUUAGACUUUCACACGGAGGACAGGAGGAUAACUAAUCAGUUGUACAACUGAAUGCAUUCAACUGAAAUAUGUCUUCCACAUUUAACCCAAACCCCUUCUGAAUCAGCUUUAGCGUCUCGGGGGGAACUUUGGUCUGCUUUCCCUGAAGCUGGAGAGCCCGAGUGGGGUUUUACAGAGCUAGCCAGACAGAGCUAGCCAGACAUGGCUGCCAGACAGAGUUAGCCAGACAGAGCUAGCCAGACAUGGCUGCCAGACAUGGCUAGCCAGACAGACUACUAAAUAGGGUUGCAACAUUUCCGGGAAACUUUUCCAUAAUUCCCUGGUUUUCCAGGAAUCUUGGUUGGAGGAUUCCCGGAUGUCCAGCUAAUUCCCCCGUAAAUUCAAGGGAUCUUCUAACCAGGAUUUCUGGAAAACCAGGGAAUUUUGGGGAAGUUACCGUAAUUUUGCAACCUUAAGAAAAACAUAUGGAGAAUGUUUAGGAAUGGGCAGUUAUAGAGGACAGGAGGUUUAGUAAUGGGUAGUUAUAGAGGACAGGAGGUUUAAUAAUGGGUAGUUAUAGAGGACAGGAGGUUUAGUAAUGGGUAGUUAUAGAGGACAGGAGGUUAUGGAGGACAGGAGGACAGGAGGUUAUGGAGGACAGGAGGUUAUAGAGGACAGGAGGUUUAAUAAUGGGCAGUUAUAGAGGACAGGAGGUUUAGUAAUGGGCAGUAGUACAUAUAUCCUUGUGUUUCUGCCUAAACGUGCUGUGUAGGAAUGGAGGACAGGAGGUUUAGUAAUGGGCAGUUAUGGAGGACAGGAGGUUUAGUAAUGGGCAGUUAUAGAGGACAGGAGGUUAUAGAGGACAGGAGGUUUAGUAAUGGGUAGUUAUAGAGGACAGGAGGUUUAGUAAUGGGUAGUUAUAGAGGACAGGAGGUUUAGUAAUGGGCAGUAGUGUAUAUAUAUCCUUGUGUUUCUGUAGGAAUAGAGGACAGGAGGUUUAGUAAUGGGCAGUAGUAUAUAUAUCCUUGUGUUUCUGCCUAAACGUGCUGUGUAGGAAUAGAGGACAGGAGGUUUAGUAAUGGGCAGUAGUAUAUAUAUAUCCUUGUGUUUCUGCCUAAACGUGCUGUGUAGGAAUAGAGGACAGGAGGUUUAGUAAUGGGCAGUAUUAUAUAUAUCCUUGUGUUUCUGCCUAAACGUGCUGUGUAGGAAUAGAGGACAGGAGGUUUAGUAAUGGGCAGUAGUAUAUAUAUAUCCUAGGUUAGUAAUAAACGUGCUGUGUAGGAAUAGAGCACAGGAGGUUAUGGAGGACAGGAGGUUUAGUAAUGGGCAGUAGUAUAUAUAUAUCCUAGGUUAGUAAUAAACGUGCUGUGUAGGAAUAGAGCACAGGAGGUUAUGGAGGACAGGAGGUUUAGUAAUGGGCAGUAGUAUAUAUAUAUCCUAGGUUUAGUAAUAAACGUGCUGUGUAGGAAUAGAGCACAGGAGGUUAUGGAGGACAGGAGGUUUAGUAAUGGGCAGUAGUAUAUAUAUAUCCUAUG
ensembl:lncRNA